rnacentral:tRNA from 1 species
GCCGCGAUAGCUCAGCUGGCAGAGCAUCUGCCGGGUAAGCGGAUUAUUGCUGGUUCGAUUCCGGCUCGCAGCA